UUUUUAUUUUAUUUUAUUUUAUUUUAUUUCAUUUUAUUUUAUUUUAUUUUUAUUUAUUUUAUUUUACUUUAUUUAACUUUAUUUUAUUUUUAUUUUAUUUUAUUUCAUUUCAUUUCAUUUCAUUUCAUUUCAUUUCAUUUUUAAUUUAUUAUUUCAUUUAAUUUCAUUUUGUUUCAUUUCGUUUCAUUUCAUUUUUUUUUUAUUUUAUUUUAUUUUAUUUUAUUUUAUUUUAUUUUAUUUUAUUUUAUUUCAUUUUAUUUUAUUUUAUUUUAUUUUAUUUUAUUUUAUUUUAUUUUAUUUCAUUUCAUUUAAUUUUAUUUCAUUUCUUUUCAUUUCAUUUCAUUUCAUUUCAUUUCAUUUCAUUUCAUUUCAUAUCAUUUUUAUUUUAUUUUACUUUAUUUUAAUUUAAUUAAAUUUUAUUUUAUUUUAAUUUCAUAUAUUUUAUUUUAUUUUUAUUUUUUCCAUGGAAACCCCAAAUCCUUUUUCAAACCCUUCCCAAAAUCUGGAAAACCGGGAUUAAUCUGGGAAUUAAGGAUCCCAAAAAUCCCGGAGCUGUCGGAAUUUGGAGAUUUGGGAUUUUCCCCGCCCGAAAAAAUUCCCAAAAUCUUCGGGAUCAGCUCGGAAUUCCGGGAGGAGAUGCAGGAAAGCUACGAGAGCGUCAUUUCCUUGGGUAAGAGCCCGAAUUCCCUCGGAUUUCCCCUCAAAUUCGGGAUCGAAUCCCUUUCGUUUUCGGAUUUUGGGAAAUUUUUCCGGUAUUUUUCCUGGAUUUCAAGAAAUUUUCCAGGUUUUUCUCGUAUUUUGGGAAAGUUUCCGUGAUUUUUUUCCCUGGAUUUCAGGGAAAUUUUCCAGGAUUUUCCCCCAGAUUUCGGAAAAAUUUUCCGGGAUUUUUUCCCUGGAUUUUGGGAAUUUUUCUGGGAUUUUUCCCCGAUUUUGGGAAAAUUUUCCAGGAUUUUUCCUGGAUUUCGUGGAAUUUUUCCGUGAUUUUUUCCCAAAUUUUUUUUUCCUGGAUUUCGUGGAAUUUUUCCGUGAUUUUUUCCCAAAUUUUUUCCUGGGAUUUUGGGGAAAAUUUCCAGGAUUUUUUCCCGGGAUUUCGGGGAAUUUUUCCAGGAUUUU
rnacentral:lncRNA from 1 species